UAAAGCCCUAAAUCGUAUAUGUUCAACCCUAAAAAACACAAAAAAUAAACCUAAGCCAUAAACCCUAAACCUAUAAAACCCAAAAAAACCUUAACCUAAGAAACCCAAAGACCUAAACCAUAAAAACAACGGUAAAACCCUUAACCCAAAACCCUAAACUUAAAAAGCCCUAAGCCCUUAACCCUAAACCCUAACCUAAAACCCUAUAUCCUAAACCUAAAACCCUAAGAAACCUUAAACCUUAAGCCUUAAGAAACCCUAACUCUUAUAAACCCUAAAAUAAACCCUAAAACCCAUUUUAAACCGCC
rnacentral:lncRNA from 1 species